rnacentral:tRNA from 11 species
GGGGCUAUAGCUCAGCUGGGAGAGCGCUUGCAUGGCAUGCAAGAGGCCAGCGGUUCGAUCCCGCUCAGGCCUACCA